rnacentral:misc_RNA from 1 species
GGACUAAAGGCCAUCAUAUCAGUGCAUCACAAGGUUCAUGAUUUCUGCAAUUCCUCUCCAAAGUUCCUAUUUUGGUAGGUGAAUUGUGUGCUAAACACAGUUUAGUCCAUUCAAACAUCAGAGUCAUGGUGUUUUCUUCAGUUUUUUUAAUUCUAUGAGUGUUCCAGCCUUCCAACUACUUAUUCUAUCAUAUUCUCUCAAAAUUUCAACUAAACUUCUCCUUUUUACAAAUAUCUCCCUCAUUCUUUUUCAAGAUAAGAUCAUCAUAAAUAUUUUGAUUUUCCACAACUACUUCUU